CCUACGGGAGGCAGCAGUGGGGAAUAUUGCACAAUGGGCGCAAGCCUGAUGCAGCGACGCCGCGUGAGGGAUGACGGCCUUCGGGUUGUAAACCUCUUUCAGUAGGGAAGAAGCGAAAGUGACGGUACCUGCAGAAGAAGCGCCGGCUAACUACGUGCCAGCAGCCGCGGUAAUACGUAGGGCGCAAGCGUUAUCCGGAAUUAUUGGGCGUAAAGAGCUCGUAGGCGGUUUGUCGCGUCUGCCGUGAAAGUCCGGGGCUCAACUCCGGAUCUGCGGUGGGUACGGGCAGACUAGAGUGAUGUAGGGGAGACUGGAAUUCCUGGUGUAGCGGUGAAAUGCGCAGAUAUCAGGAGGAACACCGAUGGCGAAGGCAGGUCUCUGGGCAUUAACUGACGCUGAGGAGCGAAAGCAUGGGGAGCGAACAGGAUUAGAUACCCUGGUAGUCCAUGCCGUAAACGUUGGGCACUAGGUGUGGGGGACAUUCCACGUUUUCCGCGCCGUAGCUAACGCAUUAAGUGCCCCGCCGUGGGGAGGUACGGCCGCGACGACGUAAACGUUAAAACGGUAAAGUUAGUACGGCGUGAGACGUCGCCGACGGACGACGACGAGGGAGGUUAGG
rnacentral:rRNA from 1 species